ensembl:lncRNA
CGAUGAUCCGUGUGCAUCCCCUCCAACUCAGGAUGUACUGUGAUCCUAUGAAAUACUGUUACAAAACAGCCCCAGGAACUGAGACCCUCCUGAAUCCCGCUGCUUUUGAUUCCAGCCUUCUGAACUGUGCGGUAAAACCAAACAAGCAUUUUGUUGCUUAUUUGAUCAGAAAAAGGUGGAAACAAGCAAAUUGUGAACUGAGAGAGUCAUUUGAAAGAGUGCUGGUUUCAUACUGGUCCAUCCAGACGUGCAUUUCCACUGUGGAGAGGCCAAACAGCCCUGGAGAAGCCUGUCCUCAUAGGGAAGGUGCUCCAGCCUUCUGAUCAUCUUCAUGGCGCUCCUCUGGACCUGCUCCAACAACUCUAUCUCCUCCUUGUGCUGGGGGUUCCAGAACUGGACACAGUACUCCAGGACCUGGUCUGAUCUGCAGCUGGAGCUCAUAUGCAGUAGUACAACACAGAAGAGAAGUCAUUAGGCCUGAUUGUAUAACUUCUGUAUAACUUCUGUAUUACUGUAUAACUUCUUUCUGAC